CAGUGCUCUCACAAUCAAAUUUUCGAAUUCCUUAGAAAAAGCUCGAAAAUUCCUCAGAUUUCCUUAAAAUUCCUUAAAUUGGUAAAAUUACCACAAGGCCUGAUCACACAGUUGCAAAAAGUGUUUUUUUCCUCCUUUUUUCUGUUUUUCAGUUUUUAACCUUGUUUCCAAGCACUAAAAAUUGAAAACAUUUCAUUGUUAGCAUAAUGCCAUAAAGAAAACAUUCAACAUGAUGUAUUUUUGAUUUAAGAGCUUAAAAAAUCUGUAGAUUUCAGAAGAAACAGCAUAUACUGACAUUUAACUUUUGAGAAUUUUAAUGAAAAGACCAGUGGCGG